rnacentral:rRNA from 1 species
AAUGGAGAGAGGAAAGUGCAUUGGCUUGCUUGGCACAAGAUGUGUAAGGCGAAGAAGGAAGGAGGGAUGUGUUUCAUAGAUCCAGAGGCUUUUAACCAAGCGUUGUUGGCUAAACAAGCUUGGCGUAUUUUACUGUACUCAUCCUCGUUAUGUGCUAGGGUCCUCAAAGCCCCGUAUUUUCCGGAGGGGUCCAUCAUGAACGCCACGUGCCCGAGCAGGGAAUCCUUCACUUUUCAAAGCAUCAUUCACGAAAGAGAGCUGCUACGGGAAGGUGUGGUUUGGAGAAUAGGAGAUGGCACUACUGUCAAUGUACAUCAUGAUAGCUGGAUUCCUAGACAGCGGAGUCUCAAGCCACUUGGGCAACAGUUCGUGCAUGGAAUAACCCAUGUUAGCGACCUGCUCAGUGAACAGGGAACUGAAUGGGACUCGAUGAAAUUGGAGAUGAUGUUCACUCCUGGUGACGUAAACGAUAUUAAGCAGAUAGCUAUUGGCGGCCCAGGUAUGAGUGAAUAUUGUGCAUGGAAUUUUACACAGAAUGGGCAAUUCACGGUGAAAUCAGCAUACCAUCUACAGAUGCGACUGAAUGGCUUAAAGACCAGACAGGCGGGUAUUCUAGUGCCACUUCAAGAGCACAAAGCUUGGUUCACUCUUUGGGCAACCAACACAAUGAACAAAGCGAAGAUCCACGUCUGGAGGAUGCUGAAGAACAGACUGGUUGUGGGAAUGGAGCUGCACUGA